rnacentral:rRNA from 1 species
CCAAUAGCGUAUAUUAAAGUUGUUGCGGUAAAAAAGCUCGUAGUUGGAUUUCUACCGAAGAUAGCCGGUCGGGUCUUCGACCUUGUAUCUGGUUUUGUCUUUGGUAUCCUCAUAGGGAACGUUUCUGCGCUUUAUUGCGUGGUGCGGUAUCUAUGACUUUUACUUUGAGGAAAUUAGAGUGUUCACGGCAGGCAAACGCCUUGAAUAUAUUAGCAUGGAAUAAUAACAUAGGAUCUUCGUCCUAUUUUGUUGGUUUCUAGGGCUAAGAUAAUGAUUAAUAGGGAUAAUUGGGGGCAUCUGUAUCAACGCGUCAGAGGUGGAAUUCUUGGAUUGCGUUGCGACAAACUACUGCGAAAGCAUUUGCCAAGGAUGUUUUCAUUGA